ACGUGUUUCCCGGUUGCUCUCUGACCUCUCUACCUGAAGUAGAACACGGCACUGGCUCAUUUGCAUUUUGAAACUAGAGCAAAGUUCAAUACUGUGGCUGGUUCCAGCGGCUCGGAGUUGCCUGGCCUGAGUCAGAAAAAAGCAGACAGUAGCAACCUGGAGACUGGUUCUAAGACUGCAGCCACACAGAGUCUGCAGAGGGCUUCCCUUUUGUCGGUUCCUGCCCCCACAACCCUGGAGACAAUCUGGGAUGGAAAUAGCAGAGAAAAGGUGUGUGAAGAUCGAAGUUGGCUGUUUCCCCGGCAGCACCAGAGCUGUGGAUGACAGUGAUCCAAUGAGAACCCAGACCAGGUGGUGGUAGCACACACCUUUAAUCCCAGCACUUGGGAGGCAGAGUGCUACAGAGUGAGUUCCAGGACAGCUAGGAGUACACAGAGAACCUCUAUCUUAAAAACCAACCAACCAGCCAACCAGCCAACCAACCAGCCAACCAACCAGCCAACCAACCAACUAGCCAACCAACCAGCCAACCAACCAGCCAACCAGCCAACCAACCAACUAGCCAACCAACCAACUAGCCAACCAACCAACUAGCCAACCAACCAGCCAACCAACCAACUAGCCAACCAACCAGCCAACUAACCAACCAACCAGCCAACCAACCAACCAACCAACCAACCAACCAACCAACCAACCAGCCAAUCAACCAAUUAACCAGCCAACCAACCAACCAGCCAACCAACUAACCACCACAGAAAACUCAGUCGUUUGCUCCACAGCCACACUCAUGAAGCUUUCUCUAAAAACAAUUUUCUUAUUAAACAGAAGGGAGGGCUGGAGAGAUGGCCCAGUGGUUAGGAGCUUAUACUGCUUUUGUAGAGGACCUUAGCGUGGUCCCCAGCUCUCCAAUAAGGUGGCUUGUAACUCUGGCUCCAGGGGGAACCUGGGCCUCUGGUCUCCUCAGGUACCUAUAUUCACAGGCAAAAUACACCCCUUCCAUAAUUUAGAACAAACAAACAAACAAACAAACAAACAAACAAAACCCGAAAGUGGUGGUGCAUGCCAAUAAUCCCAGCACUUGGGAGUUGGAGGCAGGAAAAUCAGGAGUUCAAGGCCAGCCUGGGCUACACAGGAAGUUUAAAGCCAGCCGGAGUUAUAGGUGACCCUAUUUUUAAAAAGGGGUGCAGAGGCAGGCAGAUCUCUGUGAGCUUAGAGUCAGCCUGGUCUACAAAAAUGAGUUACAGAACAUCCAUGGCUGAUAGGGGACACUGUCUCAAAAACAAAACAACCCCCUUCCCCAAAGAAGGGGUGAAGUGGGUGUACUCAGGAGACCAAAACUAGGACAGGAAGGUUCAGAUUUGCCUGGGUACACAGUAAGUUCCAGGACACCUCAAGCUACAGAACAAGACCCUGCUUCAAACACAGAAACACAUAGAUUUAUUUUGUUUCUGAUGGUCCUGGAACUCACUUUGUAGGCCAGUGUGGCCUCAAACUCACAGAGAUCCACCUGCCUUUGCUUGCCAAGUGCUGGGAUCACAGGGGUGUGCUACCAUACCUGGCAAAUAAAUUGAUUUUAAAAGAGGAGAGCCUAAGGUGUUAGUUGAGGUUAAAGAGCUCACCUUGUAUCUGAGGGGCCCUAGUUCUAAUCUCUAACAAAUCAAACAAAGCAAGGACAAACUGCCACUGGGGUCCACCUCUCACCUAAAGGCAUGAAGAAUUACUAACAGGACCAUGAAAGAAAGGAAAUUAAGCAGAGAUCGUUAACCAGAAAACUAGCUUUUUUUGCUCCUUCAUCACCAUUGGCCUAUCUUACUGUAAGCGACGUCCAAGUUAGGGAAAGUGCUUCCCUGCAGGAAGGAUUGAUCAUUGUCAAAGGGACAAGGCCAAUGGGGAAUUGUGAGAGGAAGGCCCAGGAGCUCCAGGAGAAAAGGCAGAGGGCCUUUUACUUCAGGUGCAUUUUGUUUCCUGGACUGUUCUUGAACAUGAUUUCUUUGUGCCUCCAGUGAUAAACAUUUACAUUCAAUUCAAAGAUUUGUUUAUUCUUGGUGGAUGUCAGAGCAUAGCCAUGGAACCCAGGCUGGUGACUGCACGCUGAAUCUGGACACGGCCUUGCUUCUCUGCUUUCCCAGAUAGAAUCUACAGUAUGUGCCAGGCAAUUGUGUUUAAAUUGACCUGUCUUGACAAAGUUCUGGGAAAGGGCUACUCUGUCAAUAUUUAGUAUGCACUUAUGAUACUCAUUUACAUGGUUUUCUGAACUCAAACAACUUUCCUUGGACCAUUGCUUUCUUUGUUUCAUAUAUGUAUAAAAGUGCAGUGGAACCGAAAUAAAUACUGUAGCCCGCCCCUU